UUCCUAGCUGUCCAGUGGUUAGGACUCUGUGCUUCCACUUCAGGGAACACAGGUUCGAUCCCUGGUUGGGGAA
rnacentral:tRNA from 1 species